GGAGGUGGCGCUCGCCAGGACCACCUUUGUUGUUGCUAAGCUGAAGCGUGAGGGCUUCUCUCUCCCGGGCCACUUGUCCUGCCUUGCCCCUGGCUAGAUGGACGGGGGAGUCGGUGCCGCUGCAGCUUGUUCAUCCAAGUACAUGCUCCCAGGACGCUAAGAACACCCCCGGUGAAUAUUAUGUCAGCACUGUGGCUCGCUAGCUCGGGGACUGACAAAUGGAGUCAGACCUGGAAUCCAGUCGUGGCCUUGUCCCUCACUAACUCCCAGAUCUUACUUAGUAACUUUAACCUCCCCAAAGCUUCAUCAUUUGUAAAAUGGAGAGAACCCAGUCUCAGAGUUGUGAUGAUUAAAGCAGAUAAGGUGCAUAAGUCACCUAGCAGAGUUUCUACCACAUAGGUUCAAGUAAAUAGACUUCCUAAGGAAUCAAGCCACACUUGGUAUUAGCGACUAGUUGAGUAAUUUAGCAGCAGCAGAAGAGAUGUGCAGUCUGUAAACUGGACUGCUGAACCCUUGAAGAAAUCGCAUGCAUAUUCUUUUUAACAAGAAGCCAACUAGGCUGAUGUCUGAGUUACUUGGUCAUAUAGUAGCUGUAAGACCUGCAGUGAGUUACUUAACCUCUCUGAACCUCAGUUCCUCAUGUUAAAUGAAGAUGAUAAUGUGCAGCGUUGCUGAAAAGAUCAAAUGAGAUAAAGACUAUAAUGUGCUUCAUGCAUUUCCUGGCACAUGGUAGGCACCCAGUAAAUGAUAUCAUUUACUUUUGCCUCCACCUCACCCCCCCCCAAUUGAAUUCAAUUGAAUUCAAUUGAAUCAAUAAAAUUAAUUGAACUCACAGAGUAAAAUAUGAUCCUAUAAUCCCUGUGUAGGCUUUUGGAAGAGAAUUGGCACUUCAUUUUAUUUCCAACCUCCUGCCCUAGUACAGAGUAAUUGUAACACGGAGGCAUUCCUGUAAGACCGGCGCUACCAAAAGAUGUUAGCUUUCUAAAAAUAAUUUCACCAGAGGAUGUAAACAUAUUUUCAUUAAGAGGAAACCUGCAAUAACUGAAAAACACCAGCACUCUUGGCCUCUGAUAUAAAAAAUUUUCCUUACAGCAGUUUCCAUUUUAGAAACCGAGAGGAAAAAAUAAGAAUUAUUAAGGUAGGCUAUUUAAGAUACACUCUUGGAAACAUUUGUUUAUAGAAAGAUUUCAUUCUAAACCUUGUCUCAAGAACAGUUAAGGCUAGUGGAACUCUUCUACAGACUAGCCUGUUCUCCCCAAGCUACAGUAAACAUCUGAUUCAGCCCCAGGGUCUAUUGUAUCACAACCCCUUUAACACUGAGCUGAUAGUAUUGUCAAUUGCAGUGUAUUUUUGGAAGAGAUCCUACUUUGGGAGUUCUUAAAUUAGUCCUAGCAAGUCUGCUUUUAAAUUGACUUUUUUUUUUUUUUUUUAAAUAGUACAUGUUGACAGCAGAGAAACUAGAAGAUAAAUCAGAUUUCAGAUUAGUGAACUUUGGGGGGGGAGGGUAUUGUGCCUGCUUUUCCCACUCAAGAUUCUAUAAAUACAGAAUCUCUCUCCAUGGUUCCUCACACAACAGAUGGUUUUUUUUUGCAAACUCCAUGGUGGUUAUGUUGCUUUUUUGUUACUUUGGUCACUUUCUCACUCAAUAGGUAGAUUUCCAAUUGUAGCCUUGGCUACUCAGGGCUAUGCCAAUUAAAUUUGCAGAUUUUCUUUAAACACUUAAUAUGUGUUUUUCUGCUUGAACUGCCCUAAAAUUGUGUUUUUUAAGCAAUCGAGUUAUCCCAGCCCUGCCAGCCCUGCUCCCCUAAUUUAAUUACAUUUCCUAUCCCAAGAACACCUAGUUCUUACGAUUAUUUCUUCUGAAAGCAACUUCCCUUUCCCUCUCUUCGUUUUCACUGCUUCAUCAUUACCCCAAAUUAGUGUCCCUUUUUCCUAGAGGAAUAUUUCAUGGACUCUGACUGAGCAAGCAUGGAACCAUCCGAUUGCCUGUUCUGUCUUCCCCAGCGAUGUCUUGUAGCACAUGAAAUAAACAAGAGAGAACUUUAGGUCAGAGGAAGCGUCAACACCCCCAGAUAGGGUCAGAUGUGAAGUAUGGCUGACACGAAAGAAUAAAAAUCUGGGAUUUCUGGGUUCUAGCUUUUCAAACUCCCUAAACUCCAGACUUGAUCUUCUUGAGAAAAUCCUUAUGACUGAUCCCUUCUGCGCCUCACUUUCAACAUCUUUAAAAAAUAAAAGAUAUUCAUACCUUUCAGCUUGUAGUCUGUGGUGGAUGGAGGAAAAGAAGAAGACAGUCGAUCGAACUAUGCUUUCAGUACUUGUUGAAUGACCCUAUAGUUAUGACAUUUGUAGGACUUGAAAUGGUAAGGUUAUCACUGAAAACAGAAUGCAGGCUAACUGGAUACUGAAUAUGGCAGCAUUUGCCAACCCCACUACCUGCCAAGGCCCUAAAAUUCACCAAAGACAACCAGUAACAUGCUGGUUAGAAGUAUCUUUACACUAAGGCUAUUUUUCUGGGCAAAGAAGUUCCAUCCCCAGCAAUAAGACUUAUAAUCAGAGGCUAAUUCAAGUUCCAGAGAAAAACCCAUGAAAAGGUCCUUGAAUAAGGUAUUUGUAGCCUCUGAACUAUGAGGGAAGCUCAUGGAAAAAUCUUUCAGCCCUAGCUGUAAUCUUCACCCAACUCCCUGUUUUCCCAGAGAGGACAUGACAAGACAUGACUUAUUGCAGUUAUGUGCCUGGGGCGUAGUACCUGCCUAACACAUUUCAUGACCUAUCCCAAACACACCUCGAAAAUAACUGCAUAUUCUUUUCUUCAUUGGAAUCUACACCCAGCCUACUUCUUUCCUCCUCCACUAAGGUUUUUUUUUAACUUAAAACAAUUUUAUUGGUCUUUGAAACAGGUACUUUCUCUUAGCUGUGAAAAUUGAUACAGAAUAUGUACUAGAGAAAAAGAACAGAACCAAUCACCUCUCUCCUAAUUGCCCUUUGCAAAAGAUGCAACUUGAUUGACAAAAGUUCAUGAAAUCCACCUUGUGGGUAACCAUAUGAGAUUCUGUGUGGUUUGACUAACUCAUUGUAGGAUACGUACUUCUCUGAAUUCUAAGCCAGAAGUUUUGCUUCCUCUCUUGUGUGUUUUAUGGCAACUGCCUUGAAAUUUUUUUUCACUUAAAAUUAAUUCAGAUAUGACCACCGAAAGGUUUUGUUCAUUUUUUAGGAAUUGCCGGUCGUGGACCAGCGACACUGGCACCCUCAGAGACCAUUAUUGCUAUCCACGAUUUCCAUAGAUUUUAGAGUCCCCCCGCCCCCUGCAUUAUCUCUUUUGAUCCUAUUGACAUAGGCAAAGAAUUCAGCUAAGGAUCCAGAGAUGCUGGGGAAGGAAAAGUCAGGCUGGGAUUCUCCCUGCUUCUCAGAAAAUGCAGCUGUGAUGCAUGUAACCGAUUAUGUCUAGAAAUCAGACUCCAAUGACAGAGCCCGGAAGUGGAGGGAGAACAGGGGCUCUCCUAUGAUGGAAAAGAAUCCGAUGACAAGGUCUCAUGGAGCAAAGAGAAUUCUGACCGAGUCCUCCAGAGGAGAGCCUAGAUCUCAGUCACCUUUCCAGUCCGGGACGCGGUGGCGCAGGCCCUCUGCCAGGUGCUGCUCAGCAUGUCAGCCCACGUCCACACUGCCACGAGGGAACCUUCUGGAACACACACUUGACUGCGACACUCAUCUGUUUCAGAGUGUCCAACAAUUGAUUUCCCUGCUGCUUCCAAGCCUAAUCCAGCCUCACGAACUACAGGCCCUCGAACACGUCCAACACCACCAGGACUCCAGUCUUUUGUCAAUACUGCUCUCUCAGCCUGGACCGUCCCCUCCACUCCACACAGUUCCCUGAAAGCGAACAGUGUGGCUGUCAUCUUCGCACAACCCGUGUGUCCCAGCCUUGUGCCUGGCACAUAAUAGGGACUUAGUAACUUUUGAAUAAAGAGCUCCCAGGUUUUU